rnacentral:tRNA from 1 species
GGCAAGGUAGCUCAGUUGGUUAGAGCACAUCACUCAUAAUGAUGGGGUCGGUGGUUCAAAUCCACUCCUUGCUACCA